rnacentral:rRNA from 1 species
UACGUAGGGGCGUAGCGUUAUCCGGAAUUACUGGGCGUAAAGGGUGCGUAGGUGGUUUCUUAAGUCAGAGGUGAAAGGCUAUGGCUCAACCGUAGUAAGCCUUUGAAACUGGGAUACUUGAGUGCAGGAGAGGAGAGUGGAAUUCCUAGUGUAGCGGUGAAAUGCGUAGAUAUUAGGAGGAACACCAGUUGCGAAGGCGGCUCUCUGGACUGUAACUGACACUGAGGCACGAAAGCGUGGGCAGCAAACAGGAUUAGAUACCCUGGUAGU